rnacentral:rRNA from 1 species
GUCCCAUUCCGAACCCAGAAGUUAAGCCCCCGAGCGCCGAUGGUACUGCGGAGCGAGUCCGUGGGAGAGCAGGACGUCGCUGACC